GCCGGAGUAGGGUAGUGGUUAUCCUUUGGGACUGUGGAUCCCAUGACUCGGGUUCGAUUCUCGGCUCCGGCCCCA
rnacentral:tRNA from 1 species